GCAGAGCCAUGGCCCUCUUCUUUGUUCUCUGCUGGAUCCAAGAGAUGGGAUUUCAUCAUGUUGGCCAGGCUGGUCAUGAACUCCUGACCUCAAUGGAUCCUCCUGCCUCAGCUUCCUGAGUAGCUGGGACCACAGGUGCACACCACCACGCCCAGAUGAAAUUGUGCUCCAAGUGUUUUCCAAGGUUCCGUAUGACCCAUCAUUUGAUGAAACAAGAACAGCAGUCAGAUCCAUUACAAAGAGAGACACACAAAAAAGCUAUUCCCAACAGAAGAGCUUGAACAAUGCUGCAUUUGCAUCAGGUUCAAAUGAGCGAGAGGAACAUUUGGCUAAAAUAUUUGAUGAAAUUCUACUGCAGGUGUUUCCAAAGUUUCCGUAUGACCCAUCAUUUAACGAAGCAACAGCAGUCAGAUCCAUUACAAAGACAGACAUGAGAAAAGGAACCAGCAUUGCUUGGAAUUCUCCUAAACCAGAAUAUUUCCUUGGCAGUGUGGACAAAAUUCCUGAUAAAGAUCACCUUUCAGAGGAGAAGAAUUUUAAAGAAUCCUGUCUGUUCGACAGGGAUUUAAGAGAGCAGUUAACUACUAUAGAUAAAGAAACACUUCAAGGAGCAGCUAAACCAG
rnacentral:misc_RNA from 1 species